CAUCUACUCCCUCCGUCCGGAAAUACUUGUCUCAGAAAUGGAUGUAUCUAGAUGUAUUUUAGUUGUAGAUACAUCCAUUUUUAUCCAUUUCUCCGACAAAUAUUUCUGGACGGAGGGAGUAUUAA
rnacentral:pre_miRNA from 1 species